UAGAGGAAGUAAAAGUCGUAACAAGGUUUCCGUAGGUGAACCUGCGGAAGGAUCAUUAAAAGUAUAUAGUUAUACAUUCUGUGUAUCGACUAAAUAUACCCAUUCUGAGUACCUUGCCUGUUGCUUCCAUGGAGCCUGACACAUGUCACUCUGGGGAUUUACAUCCCGAGGGAGCCUCCGUGGAAGGUAAUCUAUUAACUCUUGAAUCCAAUGUCAUCUGUCUGAUAAUGUUUAUAACAAAUGUUAAAACUUUCAACAACGGAUCUCUUGGUUCUCGCAUCGAUGAAGAACGCAGCGAAAUGCGAUAAGUAGUGUGAAUUGCAGAAUUCAGUGAAUCAUCGAAUCUUUGAACGCACAUUGCGCCUCCUGGUAUUCCGGGAGGCAUGCCUGUUCGAGCGUCAUUAAAUACCACUCAAGCUCUUCUGCUUGGUCAUGGAAGAAGAGAAUGCUUGCAUCCUCUCUUCUGAAAUCGAACGGCGGACUGCCUCAUGUGCCUCGCGUAGUAAGUUCAUCUUUUCGCUUGGAGUGUGAGAUAGUCUCGCCAUCAACCCCCAUACUUCUAAGGUUGACCUCGGAUCAGGUAGGGAUACCCGCUGAACUUAAGCAUAUCAAU
rnacentral:rRNA from 1 species